AGACCGCCUGGGGAGUACGGCCGCAAGGUUAAAACUCAAAUGAAUUGACGGGGGCCCGCACAAGCGGUGGAGCAUGUGGUUUAAUUCGAUGCAACGCGAAGAACCUUACCUGGUCUUGACAUCCACAGAAGAAUCCAGAGAUGGAUUUGUGCCUUCGGGAACUGUGAGACAGGUGCUGCAUGGCUGUCGUCAGCUCGUGUUGUGAAAUGUUGGGUUAAGUCCCGCAACGAGCGCAACCCUUAUCCUUUGUUGCCAGCGAUUAGGUCGGGAACUCAAAGGAGACUGCCAGUGAUAAACUGGAGGAAGGUGGGGAUGACGUCAAGUCAUCAUGGCCCUUACGACCAGGGCUACACACGUGCUACAAUGGCGCAUACAAAGAGAAGCGACCUCGCGAGAGCAAGCGGACCUCAUAAAGUGCGUCGUAGUCCGGAUUGGAGUCUGCAACUCGACUCCAUGAAGUCGGAAUCGCUAGUAAUCGUGGAUCAGAAUGCCACGGUGAAUACGUUCCCGGGCCUUGUACACACCGCCCGUCACACCAUGGGAGUGGGUUGCAAAAGAAGUAGGUAGCUUAACCUUCGGGAGGGCGCUUACCACUUUGUGAUUCAUGACUGGGGUGAAGUCGUAACAAGGUAACCGUAGGGGAACCUGCGGUUGGAUCACCUCCUUACCUUAAAGAA
rnacentral:rRNA from 1 species